GCUUUUGUGGUGUAACGGUAGCACACUCGCCACGUAUUCGAGAGGUCCAGGUUCGACUCCCGGCUAGGGUA
rnacentral:tRNA from 1 species